GCGAAUUGCCACGAUAUCGUUAUAAUGCCCGACCUUGAACCUGUCGCUGCAGCAAAAUCUGCGCGUAACAGGUGACAAAUCGGUGACAUCGGGUUAUUUUCU
rnacentral:ncRNA from 1 species